GACGAACGCUGGCGGCGUGCUUAACGCAUGCAAGUCGAACGGAAAGGCCCUGCUUUUGUGGGGUGCUCGAGUGGCGAACGGGUGAGUAACACGUGAGUAACCUGCCCUUGACUUUGGGAUAACUUCAGGAAACUGGGGCUAAUACCGGAUAGGAGCUCCUGCUGCAUGGUGGGGGUUGGAAAGUUUCGGCGGUUGGGGAUGGACUCGCGGCUUAUCAGCUUGUUGGUGGGGUAGUGGCUUACCAAGGCUUUGACGGGUAGCCGGCCUGAGAGGGUGACCGGCCACAUUGGGACUGAGAUACGGCCCAGACUCCUACGGGAGGCAGCAGUGGGGAAUAUUGCGCAAUGGGCGGAAGCCUGAUGCAGCAACGCCGCGUGCGGGAUGACGGCCUUCGGGGUGUAAACCGCUUUCGCCUGUGACGAAGCGUGAGUGACGGUAAUGGGUAAAGAAGCACCGGCUAACUACGUG
rnacentral:rRNA from 1 species